rnacentral:rRNA from 1 species
GCUAGCGGCAGGCCUAAUACAUGCAAGUCGAGGGGUAACAGGAAGUGCUUGCACUUCGCUGACGACCGGCGCACGGGUGAGUAUCGCGUAUACAAUCUGCCUCAUACUAGGGAAUAGCCCGAAGAAAUUUGGAUUAAUGCCCUAUAGUAUCUUUUUAAGGCAUCUUAUUAAGAUUAAAGGUUACGGUAUGAGAUGAGUAUGCGUUCUAUUAGCUAGUAGGUGUGGUAAUGGCACACCUAGGCUACGAUAGAUAGGGGCCCUGAGAGGGGGAUCCCCCACACUGGUACUGAGACACGGACCAGACUCCUACGGGAGGCAGCAGUAAGGAAUAUUGGACAAUGGGCGAAAGCCUGAUCCAGCCAUGCCGCGUGCAGGAUGACUGCCCUAUGGGUUGUAAACUGCUUUUAUAUAGGAAGAAAAAUUUUCUCGUGAGAAAACUUGACGGUACUAUAAGAAUAAGGAUCGGCUAACUCCGUGCCAGCAGCCGCGGUAAUACGGAGGAUCCAAGCGUUAUCCGGAAUCAUUGGGUUUAAAGGGUCCGUAGGUGGACAAAUAAGUCAGAGGUGAAAUCCUGCAGCUCAACUGUAGAACUGCCUUUGAUACUGUUUGUCUUGAGUUAUUAUGAAGUGGUUAGAAUGUGUAGUGUAGCGGUGAAAUGCAUAGAUAUUACACAGAAUACCGAUUGCGAAGGCAGAUCACUAAUAAUUAACUGACACUGAGGGACGAAAGCGUGGGUAGCGAACAGGAUUAGAUACCCUGGUAGUCCACGCCGUAAACGAUGGUCACUAGCUGUUUGGACUUCGGUCUGAGUGGCUAAGCGAAAGUGAUAAGUGACCCACCUGGGGAGUAC